rnacentral:lncRNA from 1 species
GCCAUUAUUGUGGCUUAAGGGAAUUGCACUAACUAUUCAGACUAAAAAAGCCAUUCCCUAAAUCUUGUAUAUAGUUUUUGAACACAAAAUUAUUGCUCGACUAAUGAGUAAUCACUGCAUCUCGCAUGGUAUGUGUGAACAUUGUCAAGGCUGACGUUGAAGGUAUGCAUUUGAUGCAAUUGCAUAGAGCCACAUAAUUAUAGCUCUACUAGCAAAGUAAUCGCACGAAUGAUGCUUUUUAUUUUUCUUUUUUUAAAGACAUGAGUUUUUGAAAGUUGAAGUAUUUUUAAGUAUAAAUUUAGUGUUUUACUUUUACAUUUUAUUUCAUGGCAUAUUAUUUAAAAAGCAAACAAUAAACAUUGAAGUGUUAUAAUUCAUUCUUAAUAGAUUAGGUUAAAUGAAGUUAUAUAAUAGUUUUUACAAAAUUUUUAUGGUUUUCUCAACUAAGUGGAAGAGGUCAAUCUUUUAGAUUUUUUACAAAACUGUCAAAAUCUCAAAAUCGACACUUUUUUAUAUUGUAGGUAUUGAAUUUGACAUAAGGUUACUUCAUUCUCUCUGCAAAUCGAUUAUGCUAGAAUAAUUAACUUGAGCUUCAGCUUCUAAAGUUUAAUUUCAUUACUUCUAUUGCGUAUCUCAAAAAGUUAUCUCAGCAUAUAUUCUAGACAAACAUAUUUAGAUUUUCUUUCAAUCUCACCCUUAACUAGAGCAUGAAAAUUCUAUCAAGAUUUUCAUCCAAUGGAUCAUGAACUUCUAUCUACCUUGAUCGGAUGUAAUUGUGAUAGACCUCAUCACGAAGAUAAUGUUGUGUAUAUUUCUCAUAUAGAGUGGAACAUGGAUUUAUUAAAUGACAUAGGAUGAUGCCAGAGCGAAGUGGAGCGAGAGGAGCAUACGGUAUAUAGGCAUUUUCUUGUACAGACUUUAAAAUCUUGUAUGAGUUUGGGCUAUAAUUAGUAUAAAUACUAAUGAUGUAAC